ACACGCGGUGAACUGAAACAUCUCAGUAGCUGCAGGAAGAGAAAACAAAUGUGAUUCCCAUAGUAGCGGCGAGCGAAAUGGGAAGAGGCCAAACGAUCAUGCUUGCAUGAUCGGGUUGUAGGACUCAAGAAUGGACGAUUGUUGUUAGUUGAACACGUUGGAGAGCGUGGCCAAAGAAGGUGACAGCCCUGUAGGCGAAAACAACAUGAACCAAUGAGGAUCCUGAGUACGGCGGAACACGAGAAAUUCCGUCGGAAUCAGCCGGGACCAUCCGGCAAGCCUAAAUACUACCUAGUGACCGAUAGUGAACCAGUACCGUGAGGGAAAGGUGAAAAGAACCCCGGAAGGGGAGUGAAAAGCACUUGAAACCGUAUGCUUACAAGUAGUCAGAGCCCGUUAAUGGGUGAUGGCGUACCUUUUGUAGAAUGGACCGGCGAGUGACGAUUUCAUGCAAGGUUAAUCUGAAGAAGAGGAGCCG
rnacentral:rRNA from 1 species